rnacentral:rRNA from 1 species
GAUGAACGCUGGCGGCGUGCCUAAUACAUGCAAGUCGAGCGAACAGAUGAGGAGCUUGCUCCUCUGACGUUAGCGGCGGACGGGUGAGUAACACGUGGAUAACCUACCUAUAAGACUGGGAUAACUUCGGGAAACCGGAGCUAAUACCGGAUAAUAUAUUGAACCGCAUGGUUCAAUAGUGAAAGACGGUUUUGCUGUCACUUAUAGAUGGAUCCGCGCCGCAUUAGCUAGUUGGUAAGGUAACGGCUUACCAAGGCAACGAUGCGUAGCCGACCUGAGAGGGUGAUCGGCCACACUGGAACUGAGACACGGUACAGACUCCUACGGGAGGCAGCAGUAGGGAAUCUUCCGCAAUGGGAGAAAGCCUGACGGAGCAACGCCGCGUGAGUGAUGAAGGUCUUCGGAUCGUAAAACUCUGUUAUUAGGGAAGAACAAAUGUGUAAGUAACUAUGCACGUCUUGACGGUACCUAAUCAGAAAGCAACGGCUAACUACGUG